rnacentral:rRNA from 1 species
CCCAGACUCCUACGGGAGGCAGCAGUGGGGGAUAUUGCACAAUGGGGGGAACCCUGAUGCAGCGACGCCGCGUGGGUGAAGGAGCGUUUCGGCGCGUAAAGCCCUAUCGGCAGGGAAGAAGGAGGACGGUACCUGACUAAGAAGCCCCGGCUAACUACGUGCCAGCAGCCGCGGUAAUACGUAGGGGGCAAGCGUUAUCCGGAUUUACUGGGUGUAAAGGGGGCGCAGACGGCAGCGCAAGCCAGGAGUGAAAGCCCGGGGCCCAACCCCGGGACUGCUCUUGGAACUGCGCGGCUGGAGUGCAGGAGGGGCAGGCGGAAUUCCUGGUGUAGCGGUGAAAUGCGUAGAUAUCAGGAGGAACACCGGUGGCGAAGGCGGCCUGCUGGACUGCAACUGACGUUGAGGCCCGAAAGCGUGGGGAGCAAACAGGAUUAGAUACCCCAGUACCA